UACGUAGGGUGCAAGCGUUAAUCGGAAUUACGUGGCGUAAAGCGUGCGCAGGCGGCUUUGCAAGACAGAUGUGAAAUCCCCGGGCUCAACCUGGGAACGUGCAUUUGUGGACUGCAUGGCUAGAGUGCGGACAGAGGGGGAUGGAAUUCCGCGUGUAGGCAGUGAAAUGCGUAGAUAUGCGGAGGAACACCGAUGGCGAGGCGAAUCCCCUG
rnacentral:rRNA from 1 species